rnacentral:rRNA from 1 species
UCCAAGGUGGUAGUAGGUAAGCGAUGGGGUGACGCAGGAAGGUAGUCCAGCCCGGGCGGUGGUUGUCCCGGGGUAAGGGUGUAGGCCGUGUGGUAGGCAAAUCCGUCACACGUUAAGGCUGAGACCUGAUGCCGAGCCGAUUGUGGUGAAGUGGAUGAUCCUAUGCUGUCGAGAAAAGCCUCUAGCGAGUUUCAUGGCGGCCCGUACCCUAAACCGACUCAGGUGGUCAGGUAGAGAAUACCGAGGCGUUCGGGUGAACUAUGGUUAAGGAACUCGGCAAAAUGCCCCCGUAACUUCGGGAGAAGGGGGGCCAUUCCUGGUGAUGAGACUUGCUCUCUGAGCUGGGGGUGGCCGCAGAGACCAGCGAGAAGCGACUGUUUACUAAAAACACAGGUCCGUGCGAAGCCGUAAGGCGAUGUAUACGGACUGACGCCUGCCCGGUGCUGGAACGUUAAGGGGACCGGUUAGUGACCUUUCGGGGUUGCGAAGCUGAGAACUUAAGCGCCAGUAAACGGCGGUGGUAACUAUAACCAUCCUAAGGUAGCGAAAUUCCUUGUCGGGUAAGUUCCGACCUGCACGAAUGGCGUAACGACUUCUCGACUGUCUCAACCAUAGGCCCGGUGAAAUUGCACUACGAGUAAAGAUGCUCGUUUCGCGCAGCAGGACGGAAAGACCCCGGGACCUUUACUACAGUUUGAUAUUGGUGUUCGGUUCGGCUUGUGUAGGAUAGGUGGGAGACUUUGAAGCAGCCACGCCAGUGGUUGUGGAGUCGCCGUUGAAAUACCACUCUGGUCGUGCUGGAUGUCUAACCUCGGUCCGUGAUCCGGAUCAGGGACAGUGUCUGAUGGGUAGUUUAACUGGGGCGGUUGCCUCCCAAAGGGUAACGGAGGCGCCCAAAGGUUCCCUCAGCCUGGUUGGCAAUCAGGUGUUGAGUGUAAGUGCACAAGGGAGCUUGACUGUGAGACCGACGGGUCGAGCAGGGACGAAAGUCGGGACUAGUGAUCCGGCGGUGGCUUGUGGAAGCGCCGUCGCUCAACGGAUAAAAGGUACCCCGGGGAUAACAGGCUGAUCUUCCCCAAGAGUCCAUAUCGACGGGAUGGUUUGGCACCUCGAUGUCGGCUCGUCGCAUCCUGGGGCUGGAGUCGGUCCCAAGGGUUGGGCUGUUCGCCCAUUAAAGCGGUACGCGAGCUGGGUUUAGAACGUCGUGAGACAGUUCGGUCCCUAUCCGCUGUGCGCGUAGGAAUAUUGAGAAGGGCUGUCCCUAGUACGAGAGGACCGGGACGGACGAACCUCUGGUGUGCCAGUUGUCCUGCCAAGGGCAUGGCUGGUUGGCUACGUUCGGGAGGGAUAACCGCUGAAAGCAUCUAAGCGGGAAGCCUGCUUCAAGAUGAGUAUUCCCACCUCCUUGAGAGGGUAAGGCUCCCAGUAGACGACUGGGUUGAUAGGCCAGAUGUGGAAGCCCGGUAACGGGUGGAGCUGACUGGUACUAAUAGGCCGAGGGCUUGUCCUCAGUUG